AGGGAAUCUUCCGCAAUGGACGAAAGUCUGACGGAGCAACGCCGCGUGAGUGAUGAAGGUUUUCGGAUCGUAAAGCUCUGUUGCCAGGGAAGAACGUCUUGGAGAGUAACUGCUCUGAGAGUGACGGUACCUGAGAAGAAAGCCCCGGCUAACUACGUGCCAGCAGCCGCGGUAAUACGUAGGGGGCGAGCGUUGUCCGGAAUUAUUGGGCGUAAAGCGCGCGCAGGCGGCUGUUUAAGUCUGGUGUAUAAUCCUGGGGCUCAACUCCGGGUCGCACUGGAAACUGGAUGGCUUGAGUGCAGAAGAGGAGAGUGGAAUUCCACGUGUAGCGGUGAAAUGCGUAGAGAUGUGGAGGAACACCAGUGGCGAGGGCGACUCUCUGGGCUGUAACUGACGCUGAGGCGCGAAAGCGUGGGGAGCAAAC
rnacentral:rRNA from 1 species